rnacentral:rRNA from 1 species
CCGCCUACGGGAGGCAGCAGUGAGGAAUAUUGGUCAAUGGGCGCGAGCCUGAACCAGCCAAGUCGCGUGAGGGAAGACGGUCCUAUGGGUUGUAAACUUCUUUUAUAUGGGAAUAAAAUGUUCCACGUGUGGGAUUUUGUAUGUACCAUAUGAAUAAGGAUCAGCUAACUCCGUGCCAGCAGCCGCGGUAAUACGGAGGAUCCGAGCGUUAUCCGGAUUUAUUGGGUUUAAAGGGAGCGUAGGUGGAUUGUUAAGUCAGUUGUGAAAGUUUGCGGCUCAACCGUAAAAUUGCAGUUGAAACUGGC